UUUGUUGGGUUAGAAACCAGAGGGAAUAAGAUUUAAAAACAUUGCAAGUUUGCCCAAUUUUGUUAACUUUUGGCUGGUCAAAAUGUCUCACAAAGUUUGGGUUUUAGUCUGGAAAAACAAGGGAAUUUAGUAUUUUUUUGGGAAGACGAUGAACAGUAACCAAAAAACAAGCCCACUCUCGGCUCCGGAAAGUGGCGGCUGUUCUAGCAGCCUCCGACGCUAUAUUUUUAGUCCAU
rnacentral:lncRNA from 1 species